rnacentral:rRNA from 1 species
GAUGAACGCUGGCGGCGUGCCUAAUACAUGCAAGUCGAGCGAACAGACGAGGAGCUUGCUCCUCUGACGUUAGCGGCGGACGGGUGAGUAACACGUGGAUAACCUACCUAUAAGACUGGGAUAACUUCGGGAAACCGGAGCUAAUACCGGAUAAUAUAUUGAACCGCAUGGUUCAAUAGUGAAAGACGGUUUUGCUGUCACUUAUAGAUGGAUCCGCGCCGCAUUAGCUAGUUGGUAAGGUAACGGCUUACCAAGGCGACGAUGCGUAGCCGACCUGAGAGGGUGAUCGGCCACACUGGAACUGAGACACGGUCCAGACUCCUACGGGAGGCAGCAGUAGGGAAUCUUCCGCAAUGGGCGAAAGCCUGACGGAGCAACGCCUCGUGAGUGAUGAAGGUCUUCGGAUCGUAAAACUCUGUUAUUAGGGAAGAACAAAUGUGUAAGUAACUAUGCACGUCUUGACGGUACCUAAUCAGAAAGCCACGGCUAACUACGUG